AUGGCAGCUCCAAGAGCACUCGUCCUCGGCUUCCUGCUGGUGAUCGCCAUCGCCAACGCCGAGGCGGCGUCCAUCGUCGUCGGCCUGGCCAAGUGCGCCGACUGCACCAGGAAGAACAUCAAGGCAGAGGAAGCCUUUAAGGGUCUUCAGGUGGCGAUCAAGUGCAAGAACGUCAACGGCGAGUACGAGAGCAAGGCAGUAGGUACCCUUGACGGCACCGGCGCUUUCAGCGUGCCCGUGGCCGCCGACCUCCACAGCGCCGACUGCGUCGCGCAGCUCCACAGCGCCGCCUCCAACGCACCGUGCUCCGGCCAGGAGCCAUCAAAGAUCGUGCCGGUGUCUGAGGGCACCACCUUCGGGGUCGUUGCCGGCGCCAAGACGAACGUGCUGGCAUCGCCAGAGUGUGCGUCGGCGACCCUGUGCGGGCCGAUCAAGAAGCACAUCAUCGAGCACUUCCAUCACAAGAAGCCCGUGCCGCCCAAGCCGGAGCCCAAGCCCCAGCCCCACCCGGACUACGGCCCCGUGCCCAAGCCCGAGCCCAAGCCGCAGCCCCACCCGGACUACCACCCCGUCCCUCCCACGCCCACCUACGGCGGCGGCAGCGGCGGCGGUGGAUACCAUGGACACCACUGA
rnacentral:rRNA from 1 species